rnacentral:misc_RNA from 1 species
AAGCUCAGCAAGGGUAAAGACGCCAUCCCAGGCAGUUUCCAACGGUGUUGGAAACCGUGCAUUCCUUAUAACAUACCCAGGUUGCCCGCCAACUUUAACAGGCACACCACGUUUCUUUGCACCUUUCUUGGAAUUCCGGAGGAAAAGAGUGACAACAAGAGGAACGAGAACGCCAACUAUGUAAGCACUCAUGCUUGGAUUAGAUGAUCCCUGAAAAAUCUAGAUAGAGCAAAUCUGAAACGCCAAAAAUCUAGUUCAAUCCGAGAACAUGAGAUCACCAAACAACGACAAAAAUUUACCUUUUUUUCCCGAGAACCCUGAAGAGAGAAAAGAAAAUUGAGUAUCAAGGGAAAGGCAUUGAUUGGGAUCGAAAAGAAGAGAGGAAUUUUCUUGAGGAUUGAAACGUAAGCGUUUUAAACAGUGAAGUUGG